rnacentral:lncRNA from 1 species
GGGAUCGCCGGUGAUUGCGGAAGAGGGAGAUGGCUGCGUGAUGCUGGGAUUUUGAUGGUGUAGAGGAAGGAGAUGGAUCCGGGCGCUGGGAGGAGGGGCUGAUCCGAGGGUGCUGCUGGCACGGAUGCUUGGAUGCGGAGGAGAAGAUCACGGAUUCGUGAGGGGAGUCGCUGAUCUUCCCUUCUUUGAUUGGAAGCGGGAUCGAUGGGAUUUGCUUCCUAUUUCCUUCUUCCGGUGAUUUGGGAGGCGGAUCCGGUCAAUGGCUUGCCAACAGAGGGAGCCAGUGAAUGCUCGAAGAUGGCGGGCUGAUGCGGAAGGAAGGAGGCGCUGGAUGCUGUGAAGCUUCUGGGAGCUUGGAUCACGGAGGAGACGCUGAUCACGGGCUUCACGAGCGGCUGGGUUGCAGAUGGAAUCC